GAUGAACGCUGGCGGCGUGCCUAAUACAUGCAAGUCGAGCGAACGGACGAGAAGCUUGCUUCUCUGAUGUUAGCGGCGGACGGGUGAGUAACACGUGGAUAACCUACCUAUAAGACUGGGAUAACUUCGGGAAACCGGAGCUAAUACCGUAUGAUAUUUUGAACCGCAUUGUUCAAAAGUGAAAGACGGUCUUGCUGUCACUUAUAGAUGGAUCCGCGCUGCAUUAGCUAGUUGGUAAGGUAACGGCUUACCAAGGCAACGAUGCAUAGCCGACCUGAGAGGGUGAUCGGCCACACUAGAACUGAGACACGGUCCAGACUCCUACGGGAGGCAGCAGUAGGGAAUCUUCCGCAAUGGGCGAAAGCCUGACGGAGCAACGCCGCGUGAGUGAUGAAGGUCUUCGGAUCGUAAAACUCUGUUAUUAGGGAAGAACAUAUGUGUAAGUAACUGUGCACAUCUUGACGGUACCUAAUCAGAAAGCCACGGCUAACUACGUG
rnacentral:rRNA from 1 species